rnacentral:rRNA from 1 species
UACGGGGGGGGUAAGCGUUGUUCGGAAUUACUGGGCGUAAAGGGCUCGUAGGCGGCCAACUAAGUCAGACGUGAAAUCCCUCAGCUUAACUGGGGAACUGCGUCUGAUACUGGAUGGCUUGGAUUCGGGAGAGGAAUGCGGAAUUCCAGGUGUAGCGGUGAAAUGCGUAGAUAUCUGGAGGAACACCGGUGGCGAAGGCGGCUUUCUGGACCGAUAUUGACGCUGAGGAGCGAAAGCCAGGGGAGCAAACGGG